GGGGCGGCUGUGUCUGCGGCUGCAGGACAGAAUAGUGUUUCACCUUUAAAUUUUUUUUACAAUUAGAAAGUGUUUUCAUAUAAACAAAGAGUCAAAAGUGGAAUCUGAUUGUAAAUUUGUUGCUCUGUAUCAAAUAGAUUUAGCAGUUUUUCCAUGAUACUUGAAUCCAAAUUCAGCUGCAAAGUUUCUGUUUGGAAACAAAAGGUUGGAUUUAAAAAAAGAAAGUAUCAAUUAAAAACAAAAAUGGCGUCUACCACUUAAACGGAAACAAUGCGUUCUCUGACAGCAACGCCAACGAGGAGGAGAGCGGAGAGGCGGGGCAGGCCUGCCCCUAUAUGGAAACAGCAGGAUGUACAAAGGAGACAGAAACGGGUCUUUCUAAGGGACAUGGACUCUCUCAGUGGCCAAAGUCCGGAAACACGGAUGACUCCUUCAUGGUGAAGUCGAUGUUUGACCUCAGGGUCAUGGCGGAGGAGGUACAGACACCUCCUCUCUCUGACUCCACCCAGAGGAGGAGGAUGAGGAGAACGGUCGGUGAGGAACCAAAACUUCAGAGGGGCGGAGAGGAGAUGCAGAGCACCACAAGCCUGCAGGACACCCCUGCAGGGGUAAGAGCGGCCCAGUAACAGCCUUUUAUUGUGAAGGAUUUGACCUUCACGUGUCAAUCAAAAGACCACACCCCUCCUACACACACAAGUGAGAUUUUAAAAAUAAAAAGCCAAAAUAAUGAGGUUGAUCGAAUGUCACUCCAGCACAGUUGACUUGGACAUUAAAUCUAAACACAGACCCAAAAUUAUUUAAUCGACAGUAACUUUAGGAAAUAGAAAAAGAAGCAAAAUAAAACAAAAACAAUGUUGCUCUAAUGCUGAGAACAGACUUUGCCGCCAUUCAAAAAACAUAUGAAUGUGGUUUCAGAGUAACCGGAGGAGCAUUUCAUAAACUCUUAU
rnacentral:lncRNA from 1 species